AUUCAGUGGUGGACAAAUGGAACUACAGAAGAAAAAACAAACAAAACAAAGCAAAAUACAGUGACUGGGUGAAAUUAAAGCAUCACUUUCAUUUUUCGUUGGGAAUCAAUGUUUAUUUUUAUUAAAACAAACAAACAAACCAUAAAGCAUAGCCAUUCCCCAGGAGCCCAUAUGACAUUUCAAAACUUUCAUCUGCUUUAAUCAUGGCCUUCAAGGCUGAGAUUUACAUGGUCCUGGGGUUCAGGUGGCAAGGACUGCCGUGCCAUCAUGCAUUCCCUCUCUUGUGCUGCUUUGCUGAGCAUUCUGCAGGACCCAAACAAAUUAUAUAGCUUAUUUAGCUCCCUCUAAAAACAAUAAUGGGCCUAUUCAGAUUUUAUCUGUAAUUUUACUUUGUUGUUGAGCAGUAUUAAUAAUGCUGCCGUAAACCAGGCAGGGUCAGCACUUCCCGCAUCUUCUCGGCUUUAGUGAUAGGAUAAAUAGCCGUCUGCGGGUGCGUGAAGGAGAACAUGCAGAUUGUCUCUGGGUAAGUUAGACAUGCCUGUCUGGAAUGGAGCCGUAUUAAUAUCGCAUCUUGCAGGUUUGGCAAGGGCUUUAAGAGUACUGUAUUUCAAGUUGGUUUUUAUAGAAACUUGCAGUAGAACUGGGCAGGAUUAAUCACGGAUGAGAUAUAUCACACUUAGUACAGUAUUAAAUUCUAGCAAUGGAACGACGCAAACCAGUUCAUAACCUUAUAAGAACAUUGUGUGCUAGGAAAAUACUGUAUAUUCAAAUUAAUGGUGAAUAAAAUGCUCUGCACUCUACUUUUUGGUGGUAGGAAGUCAAGCAGGCAGGAUUACUGAGUGUUUUCUUUUUUCUUUCCCUUUCCCCCCUAUAUAAUGCCAGCUACAGCUUCCAAUAAACCUUGCUCUUGUAUCUUAUUCUAUAGCCAUUAACAAGAAUGUCUAUAUAAACCCAGAUCUUGGAGCAAAGAAAGGGGUUUCUUCUCUCUAGGCAGGAGGAGGCUCCCUGAUGAUCUAACUGUUGCAUUACCUCCCAUUUCUAAUGAAUAUUUCAAUGAAUCAUAACAUUAAGUAAUAUCUAAUAAAUUAAUUAAUGUUAAUUAAUAAUAUAAGGAAUGUUAUGGAAUCUGUGGACAUAAGAUUUUAACUCCAGAACUGGAAGAAAUCUUAGAGACUAUCUAGUCCAACCCCUUCAUUUUUUCCAAUGAGGAAACAAAGAUCCACAGAAGGUUAAUGAAUUACCCAAGAUCCCCUAGGUAGCAAUUAGCAAGACUAGAAUUUGAAUCAAGGUCCUCUACAACAUGUGUCCUUUAUUAUUUAUUUUAUGUCUAGUGUAAUUAUAUUGCUGUUUGAAAUGUAGAUCCUUAUGGCCCUCUAUCCUUAGGGAUAACCGGCAUAGUUAUUUAGAGUACUAGACUUAACAUCAGGAAGUUUGGGGUUCGAAUUUGGCCCUAUUUGUUAGCUGGGUGAGGCUUUGAAAACUACUUAAGCAUUCUAGAAAUCAGUUUCCUCAUUUGUAAAAGCAGAUAAUCAUGGGGACCUCAUGAAGAUUAAAUGAGAUAAUAUGUAUAAAGCAUUUUGCAAAUCCUAAAGCACUAUAUAAAUUUGUCACUUGCCAUUGUUAUGUCAUAAAUAUAUAGGCAGGGGAUUCCAAGUGGCUAUCAGUAAGUUCUUGGGGGUCAGUGCCAGUCCUGCCUGUGGUCUGGAGACAGUCUUGUGGAUGAGUCCAUUGAAAAAAAUGGAAGAUGAGACUCUUGCCCUAAAAGAGUGGUCUAAAUGGGAAGAGAAAGGUCUGUCGGAUGGAAGCAACUAAGAAAUAAUUUCAUGAUCAGUUUUGCAUAAUAUAUAUGAUAUUUGCAUGGAGAAAGCACAGAGAAAGGAAGGAUUAUUCACAAAGUUGAUUAAAAUCACUCAAGAUGCUCCUCCUCAGCUCUGCUGCCUCAAAUUUUUUCAAAUGCUUCAAAAGUCUUACUCUCUGGGAUUAGGAGCCAUCUCGAAGAGGUGGGUCCGCCAUUUUCCUGGAAGAGAAGAUGCCCAAUGGAAUACCACCCACGGACUCUUAUCUUGAAGUAUACAGCGACUUUCUUUUGUUUUGGAUUCUGACCUAAGAAUAGUAUCAUUUAACCUACACUGAACCCUAUUCAAUAUGUCAAACAUUAAUACUUUAAAGGGUCAAACUGGUUCAAGCAAAUCAAAUAUUAUGUGGAAACAGAGUCAUUGGGUGGGGGAAAGCCUUCAUCAGUGUCAUUAACAAGUAGAUCCAAUCAUUCCCCCAUUAGCAGGCAGGGAUGGGGCUAAUAAGUGGAUAGGUGAAACUGAGGAGCCAUGGACAGUGUGCCUCCGACCUUCUAGUUGUUUUGCUUCAAGUUACCUAACCAGAAGAUACUUUCAGCGGUCAGUUUAUUUUGGGGUUCAGGAUGUGAGCACAGGAAAUGGCCAGAAAAACAGUGGCUCAGUAUAGACAGAAAGACAAUUAAAACUGAUAUGACUCUUAACAGAAGUGGCAAGAGCAGGCAGGAUGGAAGUAAUUUAUUCAACGAAUUGUCCAAAUACAUAAAACCACACUGAUGUAUGGUG